ensembl:snoRNA
AUCCUUUUGUAGUUCAUAAGCGUGGUGAUUGGAUGUACACGCCAUUGCGUGAUGUCUGUCUCCCUUGAACCUUAUGACCUGGGCACAUUACCCAUCUGAUG